GUAAGACACGCCUGUAGACUGAAUAUAACCAGAGACAGGUGAGACACACCUGUAGACUGAAUAUAACCAGAGACAGGUAAGACACACCUGUAGACUGAAUAUAACCAGAGACAGGUGAGACACACCUGUAGACUAAAAUAUAACCAGAGACAGGUGAGACACACCUGUAGACUGAAUAUGACCAGAGACAGGUGAGACACACCUGUAGACUGAAUAUGACCAGAGACAGGUGAGACACACCUGUAGACUAAAAUAUA